UUCCCCUAGUAACUGCGAGUGAAGCGGGCAAAGCUCAAAUUUAAAAUCUGGUAGUCUAUGGCUGCCCGAGUUGUAAUCUAGAGAAGUGUUAUCCGCGUUGGACCGUGUACAAGUCUCCUGGAAUGGAGCGUCAUAGAGGGUGAGAAUCCCGUCUUUGACACGGACUACCAGUGCUUUGUGAUGCGCUCUCAAAGAGUCGAGUUGUUUGGGAAUGCAGCUCAAAAUGGGUGGUAAAUUCCAUCUAAAGCUAAAUAUUGGCGAGAGACCGAUAGCGAACAAGUACCGUGAGGGAAAGAUGAAAAGAACUUUGGAAAGAGAGUUAAACAGUACGUGAAAUUGCUGAAAGGGAAACGCUUGAAGUCAGUCGCGUUGUCUAGAAAUCAACCUUGCUUUUGCUGGGCGUACUUUCUAGUUAACGGGUCAGCAUCAAUUUUGACCGUUGGAUAAAGUGUAGAGAAAUGUGGCAUCUUCGGGUGUGUUAUAGUCUCUGCUCGCAUACAACGGUUGGGAUUGAGGAACUCAGUACGCCGCAAGGCCGGG
rnacentral:rRNA from 1 species